AGAGAAUCAUGUUGGCUGGGAUGGUUGUCCUGGCAUCACAUGUCAACUGUCAUAGACAUAAAGACAAAUGACUCAAACUGGUUUCUUAGCACAACCAAAAAAGAUCUGUAGUCAAUGUAUUGAAUUUUUCAUGUUUCAUCCAGUUGCUUUAGUGCUGUGCAGACAGAAAUGUUGACAUCCCUCCUCAAAAGAGCACCAUCUCUACUGAUGGCCUCGUAGUUUGGAAGGAGGGUAAUGACAGACAAUAUGAGAAGUAUGUGUUGGGUAAUCUGAUGUUUAAUAUGUUCCAUGAGAUGCUUUGUGUCUGAGCUCCACCAGCUCUCAUCAGCUAACUCCCUCACCCCCUUCACCUCACAAUCAAAUAAUUUCCCCUCCCUUUGAUAAGAAGCCAACACAGGGAGAGGCAGUGGUUUGGAACAAUAGCAUCUGCAGUGGAAGAAAACACAGUGGGCCUCUCACUUUCCCUCUCUAACCACAACAAUUGGAGGAGACUUUGGCCUGAAAAAAAAAAAUCUAUCUGCUACCAAAUGGUACCCAGAUGGAGCUCGCAGCUGGUCUCUGGUACCAGCUGUACCUACGUCUAUCUAUCUUCAGAACACGCCUGAUGCUGAAGAGAAGAAAACCGGGUUGACAGAGCAGUUAAAGAGCCUCUCUUUUCUUCUGCACACUUUUCCUUUUAUCUUUUCCCCUUCAAUUUCAGAGCUUCUUGUUCUCACCUUCAUGCUGUGGCAGUGCUGACACAGAAAACUGCAGCCCUGGAAACCCAGUGGUCGAUCGUACACCUGAAAAAUGGUAAUGGCAACAUUAGCGGACCAGAGAGAGUUCUCCAGCUUUCUAAAUGUGAGUCAAUAUUAAGUCUGAUAGCCUGUCUCUCUCUCUGUGUCUCUCUCUCUUUCUCCCCUGCCUCCACCCUCCACCUUUCCCCUAUUUUGAUAGCUGUCUACUGUUUAAGCAAAGCACAGGGUUUCCUUACAGCUGAAGCCCAGGUGGCUUCAGUGUCAAUCUAAACAAGUUGAUGUGAAAUUGAUCUUCUGGGGCUGGAACUAGGUGAGCUGGUGUCAGCAGAGCAUUCCACCUUCAGUAAAGAUAAUUCUUUCAUCAUCCAGGGUGAGGGGAGGGAGGACUAAGAAGAGCUGACACAGGUGUCCAAGCUGCCCACUUGUAUUUGCUUUUGAAACUCCAAUUGUGAUGACAUCACCCUAUCAAAGGACCGUGUUUGUUGAUGUUUGUUUAUGUGGGUUGUCAGUAUAUAACCAUGCACAAUUACAGCUGGGAUCAACCCUCUAUAUUAAAAAGAUGGAAAAAUUGAGCCACAAAAGAAACUAUUUGGGCAGAGAAAUGUUGAUGGAAGCAAACAAAGAAAAUGCAACCUGAGUGGAAAAUUCUCUAGUUUUAAAAACAAUCUGGACGGUGUGGGCGGACUAGUGGUUCAGAAAAAGUACAUAUAGUUGACUCUUAAUCGUGCCCACCAAUAAAAUCCAACCAAUGGAAUAAGUAAUCCA
rnacentral:lncRNA from 12 species